UACACUCCUGCGGGAGGCAGCAGUGGGGAAUAUUGCACAAUGGGCGCAAGCCUGAUGCAGCCAUGCCGCGUGUAUGAAGAAGGCCUUCGGGUUGUAAAGUACUUUCAGCGGGGAGGAAGGCGAUAAGGUUAAUAACCUUGUUGAUUGACGUUACCCGCAGAAGAAGCACCGGCUAACUCCGUGCCAGCAACCGCGGUAAUACGGAGGGUGCAAGCGUUAAUCGGAAUUACUGGGCGUAAAGCGCACGCAGGCGGUCUGUCAAGUCGGAUGUGAAAUCCCCGGGCUCAACCUGGGAACUGCAUUCGAAACUGGCAGGCUAGAGUCUUGUAGAGGGGGGUAGAAUUCCAGGUGUAGCGGUGAAAUGCGUAGAGAUCUGGAGGAAUACCGGUGGCGAAGGCGGCCCCCUGGACAAAGACUGACGCUCAGGUGCGAAAGCGUGGGGAGCAAACAGGAUUAGAUACCCCUGUAGUCCC
rnacentral:rRNA from 1 species